GACGAACGCUGGCGGCGUGCUUAACACAUGCAAGUCGAACGCUGAAGCUCAGCUUUUGUUGGGUGGAUGAGUGGCGAACGGGUGAGUAACACGUGAGUAACCUGCCCCCUUCUUUGGGAUAACGCCCGGAAACGGGUGCUAAUACUGGAUAUUCACUGGUCUUCGCAUGGGGGUUGGUGGAAAGGGUUUUUCUGGUGGGGGAUGGGCUCGCGGCCUAUCAGCUUGUUGGUGGGUGAUGGCCUACCAAGGCUUUGACGGGUAGCCGGCCUGAGAGGGUGACCGGUCACAUUGGGACUGAGAUACGGCCCAGACUCCUACGGGAGGCAGCAGUGGGGAAUAUUGCACAAUGGGCGCAAGCCUGAUGCAGCGACGCCGCGUGAGGGAUGGAGGCCUUCGGGUUGUGAACCUCUUUCGCUCAUGGUCAAGCCGCAACAAUGGUUGUGGUGAGGGUAGUGGGUAAAGAAGCGCCGGCUAACUACGUG
rnacentral:rRNA from 1 species